rnacentral:rRNA from 1 species
UGGGGAAUAUUGCACAAUGGAGGGAACUCUGAUGCAGCGACGCCGCGUGAGUGAUGAAGGAAUUCGUUUCGUAAAACUCUGUUCUAUGGGAAGAAAAGGACUGUACCAUAGGAGAAAGCUCCGGCUAAAUACGUGCCAGCAGCCGCGGUAAUACGUAUGGAGCGAGCGUUGUCCGGAAUUAUUGGGCGUAAAGGGUGCGCAGGCGGCUUUACAAGUUGGAUGUGAAAUAUUGUGGCUCAACCACAAACGUGCAUCCAAAACUGCAAAGCUUGAGUUAAGGAGAGGUAAGUGGAAUUCCUGGUGUAGCGGUGGAAUGCGUAGAUAUCAGGAGGAAUACCGGUGGCGAAGGCGACUUACUGGACUUAAACAGGCGCUCAGGCACGAAAGCGUGGGGAGCAAACAGG